GACGAACGCUGGCGGCGUGCUUAACACAUGCAAGUCGAACGGAAAGGCCCUGCUUUUGUGGGGUGCUCGAGUGGCGAACGGGGGAGUAACACGUGAGUAACCUGCCCUUGACUUUGGGAUAACUUCAGGAAACUGGGGCUAAUACCGGAUAGGAGCUCCUGCUGCAUGGUGGGGGUUGGAAAGUGUCGGCGGUUGGGGAUGGACUCGCGGCUUAUCAGCUUGUUGGGGGGGUAGUGGCUUACCAAGGCUUUGACGGGUAGCCGGCCUGAGAGGGUGACCGGCCACAUUGGGACUGAGAUACGGCCCAGACUCCUACGGGAGGCAGCAGUGGGGAAUAUUGCACAAUGGGCGGAAGCCUGAUGCAGCAACGCCGCGUGCGGGAUGACGGCCUUCGGGUUGUAAACCGCUUUCGCCUGUGACGAAGCGUGAGUGACGGUAAUGGGUAAAGAAGCACCGGCUAACUACGUG
rnacentral:rRNA from 1 species